CCAAUAGCGUAUAUUAAAGUUGUUGCAGUUAAAAAGCUCGUAGUUGAAUUUCGGGGUUAGUAGGUCGGUCAUGCCACUGGUAUGUACUGGUCUCACUGAUUCCUCCUUCCUGAUGAGCCGUAAUGCCAUUAAUUUGGUGUUGCGGGGAAACUGGACUGUUACUUUGAAAAAAUUAGAGUGUUUAAAGCAGGCUAACGCUUGAAUACAUUAGCAUGGAAUAAUGAAAUAGGACGUUCGAUCCUAUUUUGUUGGUUUCUAGGAUUGACGUAAUGAUUAAUAGGGAUAGUUGGGGGCAUUAGUAUUCAAUUGUCAGAGGUGAAAUUCUUGGAUUUAUUGAAGACUAACUACUGCGAAAGCAUUUGCCAAGGAUGUUUUCAUUAAUCAAGAACGAAAGUUAGGGGAUCGAAGACGAUCAGAUACCGUCGUAGUCUUAACCAUAAACUAUGCCGACUAGGGAUCGGAUGAUGUUAAUUUUUUAAUGACUCAUUCGGCGCCUUACG
rnacentral:rRNA from 1 species